rnacentral:rRNA from 1 species
AUUGAACGCUGGCGGCAGGCCUAACACAUGCAAGUCGGACGAGUGGCGGACGGGUGAGUAAUGUCUGGGAAACUGCCCGAUGGAGGGGGAUAACUACUGGAAACGGUAGCUAAUACCGCAUACCAUCGGAUGAGCCCAGAUGGGAUUAGCUAGUAGGUGGGGUAACGGCUCACCUAGCCAACGAUCCGUAGCUGGUCUGAGAGGAUGGCCAGCCACACUAGACCGGAGACACGGUCCAGACUCCUACCGGAGGCAGGGGUGGGGUAUGGUGGACAGUGGGAGCGAGGCUAGUGUGACCAUGCCACGUGGAUGAAGAGGGGCUGGGGGUUUUAAAGGUAUUUUGGCUAGGAGGCGGUACUCUAUGAAGAAGCACCGGCUAACUCCGUGCCAGCAGCCGCGGUAAUAC